rnacentral:lncRNA from 1 species
GGUGAGGGGAAACUGAGUUCCAGGGUAGGCUCCAGAGUGAAGAGGGAAGAAACAUGAUUCUCAAGGCCCAGGUCUGGACAAGUGUGAACACCUUGGGCCUGCGAAUUCAGCCCCCUCCUUCCUUUCUCUGGUCAAAGGCUAGACUUGCAGGAGCUUGCGUUUGAAGGGACAGCCCAGAAGGCAUCGUCUGCACUCCCCAUACAGGUGUGCCCGGAGAGGCUGAGCAGCCUGCGCCUGAGCUGGUGGAGGUGGAAGUGGGCAGCACAGCCCUUCUGAAGUGCGGCCUCUCCCAGUCCCAAGGCAACCUCAGCCAUGUCGACUGGUUUUCUGUCCACAAGGAGAAGCGGACGCUCAUCUUCCGUGUGCGCCAGGGCCAGGGCCAGAGCGAACCUGGGGAGUACGAGCAGCGGCUCAGCCUCCAGGACAGAGGGGCUACUCUGGCCCUGACUCAAGUCACCCCCCAAGACGAGCGCAUCU